GAGAUCAUGCCAGCACUAAUGCAUCGGAUCUCAGCAGAACUCCGCUGUUAAGCGUGCUUGGGCGAGAGUAGUACUAGGAUGGGUGACCCCUUGGGAAGUCCUCGUGUUGCACCCA
rnacentral:rRNA from 1 species